AGUGAUUUAGUUUAAAAUUAAAAUUUAAGAUUGCAAUUCUUAAGAAACAAAAGUUUGUAAUCACUU
rnacentral:tRNA from 1 species